ensembl:snRNA U6 U6 spliceosomal RNA
GUGCUUCCAUAGCACAAACUAAAAUUAGAAGGAUGCCAAGAUGAUUAACAUGGUCCCUGCACAAGGAUGACAUGAAUUUUUACAGCAUUUCAUAUUUUU